rnacentral:rRNA from 1 species
AAUGGGGGCAACCCUGAUCCAGCCAUGCCGCGUGAGUGAAGAAGGCCCUAGGGUCGUAAAACUCUUUCGCCUGUGAUGAUAAUGACAGUAGCAGGUAAAGAAACCCCGGCUAACUCCGUGCCAGCAGCCGCGGUAAUACGGAGGGGGUUAGCGUUGUUCGGAAUUACUGGGCGUAAAGCGCACGUAGGCGGAUUAGAAAGUUAGAGGUGAAAUCCCGGGGCUCAACCCCGGAACUGCCUUUAAAACUAUUAGUCUAGAGUUCGAGAGAGGUGAGUGGAAUUCCGAGUGUAGAGGUGAAAUUCGUAGAUAUUCGGAGGAACACCAGUGGCGAAGGCGGCUCACUGGCUCGAUACUGACGCUGAGGUGCGAAAGUGUGGGGAGCAAACAGGAUU